AUGUCAGCGGUUCGAGUCCGCUUAUCUCCAGCCCGUGAACUUAGCGGAUACUAUGAUAGCGAUAGCAUCGAAUUUUGCCAAUUCGACAGAUCGAUCUAUGAUUUCACAUUCAUGGACGUUGAUAAGAUCCUUCCAUUUAGUAGCACCUUAAGAUGGCAUAGCCUUAAUAUUAAUGGCGAGGUUUAAAAGAGGAAAGGCUUGCGGAGGAUACCGAGGCACCCAGAGAAGAGGAAGGGUGUAGCAAAAAGCGACAAAAUGCUUUGAGGAGUUGAAAAUAAGCAUAGAUCCGGAGAUUCCCAAAUAGGUCAACCUUUUAAACUGCUUGCUGAAUCCAUGAGAAGGCAAGAGACAACCUAGCGAACUGAAACAUCUUAG
rnacentral:rRNA from 1 species